CCACCUUCUUUUAACCUAAAACGGUUGUCCUCCCUCCUGUGACCCUUACACUCACAGUGACUCACCUAGAAAACAACUCACCCUCCCUUUAAAUCACCGUCACGAUUCUACCCUUGACCAUCGCAUAUCUCCAAUAGGCCUGCGGGGUGUUGAUUCUGCCAUCCGAAACCCAUCUUGUAUUCUUAUAGCAGUUGUUUGUAGCCGUUCACACCAACAAUCGGCUCCCCCGAAUUACCUAGACUACAAUCACUGAUGUCACAUCCCAAUUGACCUCUUUUGUAGGUGUGUAAAUGAGAAAGGUUUGAAGAUGCAUACCAAUUGCUCGAUGAAACGCAUCAACCAAAAAAACUUCCGUUUCACAUGUUUUACUAGAUGAAUGAUUAUCUGGCAAUUAUUUUUGGAUGAAACUUGUGUUUUGCAGAUUCUUUUAUGCAACCUUAGAAGUAGAAGUUGAAUGAAACAAUGCGUUCAGGGCAUAUGUCGCCAUGUCGGGGCAUUCACUGUUUCGGUAAAGAUUAGGAACACCUACACCUAAAAAAGUGGAAUUCUUAUAUCUCAAGGUUUGAGUGAUUCACGUCAGUCGUAUACAACUACUAAAAGGCAUGGGCACCAGAGUGCAAACAACAGAAAGGCAGUUGGGAAUGUGGGUAUAUGGUAAUCAAACAUAUGAAAGAGUUUAUCGACUCUAUACAACAUGAUUUGGUUAACCGACUUUGGAAUGAAGAAGGGUAUUUUGAAGAAUCUCAAAUUGAGAAUUUAGUGGUAGAUUUAAUGUUCGGAUUUAUU